rnacentral:rRNA from 2 species
ACGGGUGCGUAACGCGUAUGCAACCUACCUAUCACUGGGGGAUAGCCCGGGGAAACCCGGAUUAAUACCGCAUAAAACAGGGGCACCGCAUGGUGAUAUUUGUUAAAGAUUUAUUGGUGAUAGAUGGGCAUGCGUUCGAUUAGCUAGUUGGCGGGGUAACGGCCCACCAAGGCGACGAUCGAUAGGGGAGCUGAGAGGUUGAUCCCCCACACGGGCACUGAGAUACGGGCCCGACUCCUACGGGAGGCAGCAGUAGGGAAUAUUGGGCAAUGGAUGCAAGUCUGACCCAGCCAUGCCGCGUGCCGGAUGAAGGCCCUCAGGGUUGUAAACGGCUUUUAUUCGGGAAGAAGAGCAGGGAUGCGUCCUUGUGUGACGGUACCGAAUGAAUAAGCACCGGCUAACUCCGUGCCAGCAGCCGCGGUAAUACGGAGGGUGCGAGCGUUGUCCGGAUUUAUUGGGUUUAAAGGGUGCGUAGGUGGCUGUUUAAGUCAGUGGUGAAAUACGGUUGCUCAACAAUCGAGGUGCCAUUGAUACUGAAUAGCUUGAAAUAAUUGGAGGCUGCCGGAAUGGAUGGUGUAGCGGUGAAAUGCAUAGAU